rnacentral:rRNA from 1 species
GACGAACGCUGGCGGUGUGCUUCACACAUGCAAGUCGAACGAGGUAGCAAUACCUAGUGGCGGACGGGUGAGUAACGCGUGGGAAUCUGCCUUUAGAUGGGGGAUAACGGGUCGAAAGACUCGCUAAUACCGCAUAUGACGAAAGUUGAAAGGAGUAAUCCGUCUAAAGAUGAGCCCGCGUCCGAUUAGCUAGUUGGUAGAGUAAAAGCCUACCAAGGCGACGAUCGGUAGCUGGUCUGAGAGGAUGAUCAGCCACAAUGGGACUAGAGACACGGCCCAUACUCCUACGGGAGGCAGCAGUGGGAAUUUUACGCAAUGGCGAAAGCCUGACGUAGCGACACCGCGUGAGCGAAGAAGA